CUGAGCAGCUGACCCGCUCUAUGACACCAGGUUUGCGCAGGAGAAGACGCAGCACUAUGGACCUUCUGCUGAGGGGGUGUUGGUGUCGCUGCUCGUGGAGGCCUCAUCCAGCAGUUUCAGAACAAGUGGCCGGCCGCCAGCUGACUGGACCUCAAGGACAUGAGCCCUCUCUCCCUCCUCACUCUCAACAGUCUGUCUGCCUCAAGAGCUGAAGGUACUUGGUGUGUGGUCUGGGCGCUCACUGCCAGAGGGCAAGGCAGGUCUCUGUGGGAAGGCCCUUGAUGUUUCCUUUGGACUGGAAGCUUUGAUCUGACCUUCUAUCCACCUUCAGUGAGUGCUGCCCCUACUGCUCGGCUGGCUUGUAAAGAGCCUUCUGUUCACAGAAGCUCAGGAGAUUGUGGCUGGUGCUGCUGAGACCUUCCUUCACCUGGAUGCAGACAUUUGUAGUGGCCGUUGGGACUUGAUGAGCUGCCCAGAUGUGCUAUCCUUACUGAGGAAGAGGGUCCAUGCUUGGAGGAGGAGCAGGCACAAGUGUCUAGUCUGGUCAUUUUCCACCCUGCACGACAGGACCAGGCUGCUGUCAGCUGGGAGGAGGGGAUGACUAGUUGAAUAGGAGGAGUGGGGUUGGGAAGCUAGCAGGGAUGUCUGUGACUGUGGCAACAUGGAGGCUAUGGAGAUAGCCUGGCAGCUGACCAGAAAGCAAAUUAGGGUCUCUGAGCGCUGAGGGACAGAGGAUGGGGGUGUGCAUCUUCUGGGUGCAGGGUUCCUCUUUGGCCUCUGACAUAUUGUGUAACUCAGCAGAGUGAUGGCUGCACUACAUUGUGAAUGUACUUAACACCCAUGGAGUGUAUAUUUUUAAAUGAAAAAAAGAUCAGUUGAUUGAUAUUUAAACUGAAAUAAAACCAGGCAGAUAUCAAAACAAAGUAGAAUAUAAUGCAUUUGUCCUCCAAGAAUGGGACAUUAAGUUCCACUAGAGGAGCAAGUUGGAUUUGUUGAUCCGAGCAGGUGCACCUAAGGGAGUCUCCAGAGCCGUCUUGUGGGAGCUGUGGUACUUGGUGACUAGAGAUUAUCCUCGGACAUCACUGCAGAUGCCAGCUCUCUCUCCAGAGAUGCUGAUACAACUGAUAUUGGCUGCAAUUCUAGAACACUUGCCUGUGUCGACAGUGCAACCGAAUGUGGAUAUUUUGAAGAAGCAUAGAAAGAGUGAAAAGAACAUAGCACCAAAACUUUCUUCAGUGAAGUGAGGCCAGGCCUGAGCCUGGAUUGUACACAUGGCAGAACAGUGCACUAUGCAAGUGAAUUUCGCUGGCCCUCAUAACAAGUUAAUAUUGAGCCAACAACAACAAAAAAAAGCUGAUGGCUUCAAACUCUGGCACUUGGUAGGUAGAAAAUGCACCUGAGGUCAAAGGAAAAAAUUUUUUCCUCAAAAGAGAACACAACAGAAGUUAGGUAAGAAUGUAUUGAGUAAUGUUUUCCAAGUGAUCUUUCUUUUUUUUUACGGUUUUGUUAAUGAUCUUGGACAUCUUAUACAUGCUUAUUUACCAUAUGUUUAUCUCCCUUUUUGAUGAAAUAGAUCCUCAGGAUGUUUUGUCCACUUUAUCAUUCGUUUUUUUUUUCUACCAGUUUUGAGAGCUCUUUAUGUAUCCAUCUGUUUGUUGAAUAUGUGGUUUGUAAAUAUUUCUCCUACUUUGUUGCUUCACUUUUCAUGCUUUUCAAAAGGCUUAGACUUGAGCAAAAGUUGUUAACUUUAUGAGCACUAAUUUGAAGAGUUUUCUUUCUUUCUUAUUUGUUUUUGACCUCCAGGGUUAUUGCUGGAACUCAAUGCUGUCACUACAAAUCCACCACUCCCAGUGGCCAUUUUUUGCCCCCCCCCCAUUUUAUUCAUAAGACAGAGUGAAAUUGCAAGGGGAGGGGGGGAGAGAGAGAGAGAGAGAAAGAGACCUGCAUACUGCUUUACCACUCUUGAAGUAUCCCCGUAAGGUAGGGAGUGGGCACUCAAACCCCAGAUCCUUGCCAAUAAUACUAUGUGCAUCUCCACCAGGUGUGCCACUGCUAGGCCCUCCUCAGAGUUUUCUUUAAUAAAUCAUGCUUUGAUGUUAACUCCAAACUUUCUGCUUUGCGGAAGCACUUCCAUAUGCAUUAAUAUUUAAGUUUGUGUCCAAGAGCUAUGCCUUAUUUCAUUACUGUAUUUGUAUAUUAUAUCUUUAUCUUUGUUUUCUAGACAGCAAUCAUUGCUGGGUCACAUCCACCAUGUUGUUCCCUCAAGAUAUUGCA